CCGCCCGGCCCGAAUACGCUCGGGCAUUUCCGCCGGGGGCGGGCCAGGCCGCUCGGAACCGUGGCGGCGGCAGAGGCGGGGAUCCCGCGGCUGCGGCGACGGUGGCCGCGGUGGAGCCGCGGGGCGGGCUCGGUUUGGUGUGACGGCGACUGCGGCGGCGGUGGCGACCGCGACCAGGUCGGCGUCCUCGGCUGGCCGAGCAUGGUGGCAGCCUGCACCCUUGGCUCCCUCAUCUGGUGCAGCCAGCAGAGCCGCCACCCUUGGGCGCCCAUGGCCCUCCAUGUGAGGGCGUGAGCGGCCUGCCCCAGCCUCACCUGCUGAUGGAGGACUCAGUGGCCCAGUGACCUGACACCACGCCACUAACCCCCUCCCACCAGUUGACGAAUGGUGGAGCCAGCGACGAGUGGCCCUUGUAAGGGUCAUGGAAUAAUUUGAAGCGAGGCAUGAGCGGCCCCCGUGGUCGCCUGUGACUGCUGGAGAUAGAGGUCCCAGCACCCCAAGCCAACCCAGCGGACCCUCCCAACCCUGCUCCAGCCAAUGGGGCCAGUGGGACUCCAAGCAGCCACCUAACCAUCCAGACCCCACCCCACCCACGCGGCCAUGGCGGGCCCUGAGGGUUUCCAGUACCGUGCUCUGUACCCGUUCCGCCGGGAGCGGCCAGAGGACCUGGAGCUGCUGCCUGGCGACGUGCUGGUAGUGAGCCGGGCGGCCUUGCAGGCACUGGGUGUGGCCGAGGGUGGCGAGCGCUGCCCACAGAGCGUGGGCUGGAUGCCCGGCCUCAACGAGCGCACACGGCAGCGAGGUGACUUUCCUGGCACCUAUGUCGAGUUCCUGGGGCCCGUGGCCCUGGCCCGGCCCGGCCCUCGCCCACGGGGCCCCCGCCCACUGCCCGCCAGGCCCCGUGAUGGGGCCCCUGAGCCAGGCCUCACACUCCCCGACUUGCCUGAGCAGUUCUCCCCACCUGAUGUGGCGCCCCCUCUUCUGGUGAAGCUUGUGGAGGCCAUUGAAAGGACAGGGCUGGACAGCGAAUCUCACUACCGGCCGGAGCUGCCCACACCGCGUACAGACUGGACCCUGAGCGAUGUGGACCAGUGGGACGUGACAGCCUUGGCUGACGGCAUUAAGAGCUUCCUUCUGGCACUGCCUGCACCGCUCGUGACCCCCGAGGCCUCGGCCGAGGCGCGCAGGGCCCUGCGGGAGGCCGCGGGGCCCGUGGGGCCGGCGCUGGAGCCACCGACGCUGCCGCUGCACCGCGCGCUCACGCUGCGCUUCCUGCUCCAGCACCUGGGCCGCGUGGCCCGCCGCGCCCCGGCCCUGGGUCCCGCGGUCCGGGCCCUGGGCGCCACCUUUGGGCCGCUGCUGCUGCGCGCGCCGCCGCCGUCCUCGCCGCCGCCAGGGGGCGCUCCCGACGGGAGUGAGCCCAGUUCUGACUUCCCGGCGCUGCUGGUGGAGAAGCUGCUUCAGGAGCACUUGGAAGAGCAGGAGGUUGCACCCCCAGCGCUGCCGCCUAAACCCCCCAAGGCAAAGCUGGCCCCUGCAGGCCUGGCGAAUGGAGGGAGCCCACCCUCCCUGCAGGAUGCCGAGUGGUACUGGGGAGACAUUUCAAGGGAGGAGGUGAAUGAGAAACUCCGGGACACUCCCGAUGGCACCUUCCUAGUCCGAGAUGCUUCCAGCAAGAUCCAGGGCGAGUACACGCUGACCCUCAGGAAAGGCGGGAACAAUAAACUGAUCAAGGUCUUCCACCGAGAUGGGCACUACGGCUUCUCAGAGCCACUCACCUUCUGCUCUGUCGUGGACCUCAUCAAUCACUACCGCCACGAGUCGCUGGCCCAGUACAACGCCAAGCUGGACACACGGCUUCUCUACCCUGUGUCCAAAUACCAGCAGGACCAGAUUGUCAAGGAGGACAGUGUGGAGGCGGUGGGCGCCCAGCUCAAGGUCUAUCACCAGCAGUACCAGGACAAGAGCCGCGAGUAUGACCAGCUCUAUGAAGAGUACACACGGACCUCCCAGGAGCUGCAGAUGAAGCGUACCGCGAUUGAGGCCUUCAAUGAGACUAUCAAGAUCUUUGAAGAGCAGGGCCAGACUCAAGAGAAGUGCAGCAAGGAAUACCUGGAGCGCUUCCGGCGUGAGGGCAACGAGAAAGAGAUGCAGAGGAUCCUGCUUAACUCUGAGAGGCUCAAGUCCCGCAUUGCCGAGAUCCACGAGAGCCGCACGAAGCUGGAGCAGCAGCUGCGGGCCCAGGCCUCGGACAACCGGGAGAUCGACAAGCGCAUGAACAGCCUCAAGCCAGACCUCAUGCAGCUGCGUAAGAUCCGAGACCAGUACCUUGUGUGGCUCACCCAGAAAGGCGCCCGGCAGAAGAAAAUCAACGAGUGGCUGGGGAUCAAAAAUGAGACUGAGGACCAGUACGCGCUGAUGGAGGACGAGGACGAUCUCCCGCACCACGAGGAACGCACUUGGUACGUGGGCAAGAUCAACCGCACGCAGGCAGAGGAGAUGCUGAGUGGCAAGCGGGAUGGCACCUUCCUCAUCCGCGAGAGCAGCCAGCGGGGCUGCUACGCCUGCUCCGUGGUGGUGGACGGAGACACCAAGCACUGCGUCAUCUACCGCACGGCCACCGGCUUCGGCUUCGCGGAGCCCUACAACCUGUACGGGUCGCUGAAGGAGCUGGUGCUGCACUACCAGCACGCCUCGCUCGUGCAGCACAACGACGCGCUCACCGUCACCCUGGCGCACCCAGUACGCGCCCCGGGCCCCGGCCCGCCGCCUGCCGCCCGCUGAGCGCCGAGGACCCCCCCCAAGCGGAGCUGCCCCUGGGCCCGUCUGCACCGGAGGCUGCGGCGGCAGGAGCCACGGACCAGACCAGCCACAUCCAGGGGUCCUCAUUUCUACGGCUCUGGCUUUUGUUUGGGGUUCUCUCACCCUCUUUCUCUUUCCUUCUCUCCUUCCCUCCCUCCCUCUUUCCCUCCCCAUUCUCCAGAUCUCCUGUCUCCUUUUCUCUCUCUCUCUCUCUUUCUUGGCCCUUGUCUUUCUCCAUGUUGGGGGUCCUGCCUCCCCGACCCCAUAUCUCCCUGUUCCCCGGGCAAUGCCCUCUCCAUGGCUCUGGUCACCCUGACCCUCUGCCCUGCCCACCGCAGGUCCCCUGGGGCCCUGGAAGCCCCUUCUGGCUGCACCUGCCAUGUUUACAGAGGGCCCCUGGGCUGCGCGGCCCCAGCCUGGGCACCCUGAUUUUUAAGCCAUAGACCUGGGGUCAGGGCAGGAAGGAACUUCACUCCGCUGCUUCCGAGAACCUCGGCCGUGACGUUCGGGGCCGGGCGGGACCCGCCCCACAGACUCCAACUUCCCCUCCAAACCCCGAAGUGAAACCCGACACCGGGUUACCCCACAAAUGGGGCCGCUGCGAGAAGGUCCACCACCCCUAAAAAAAUAAUUAAACUCGCAGGCCGGGCGCUUUGGCUCACGCCUGUAAUCCCAGCACUUUGGGAGGCCAAGGCGGGCGGAUCUUUUGAGGUCAGGAGUUGGAGACCAGCCCGGCCAAAAUGGCGAAACCCCGUCUCUACUAAAAUACAAAAAUUAGUUGGGUGUGGUGGCGGGCGCCUGUAAUCCCAGCUACUUGGGAGGCUGAGGCGCGAGAAUCUCUUGAACCUGGGAGAUGGAGGCUGCAACGAGCAGAGAUUGUGCCACUGCACUCCAGCCUGGGCAACAGAGGGAGACUCCUCCGUCUCAAAAAAAAUAAAUAAACUCGUGAGCUGGUCCCAACCCCCCCUAGGAAUCACAGCUCCCCGUACUGGUGCCGCCGCAGUGGCCAAGUUGCGACACUGCCCACGGCCCUUCCGCCUGAUGCAGAUUCAGGGCUUCUCUUCGAUCAUGUUGGGUUUUGACUCUGUUUUUCCUUGACUGCAAAACCCUCUUUCCUCUCCUCUUUUGGGACAAGAGCCCUGGUUUUCUACGCUGCCCUUGGCCACCACACUGCCUGCCCGGCGAGCUGGGAGGCAGGUUUUGUACGGCUGGAACGCAGUUGUGUGAACACGGCUCGCUCAUGGCUCACGGCCUCAAACUCCUGGUUUCCAGCCUCAAGCAGUCCUCCCAUCUCAGCCUUCUGAGUCACUGGAUUACAGGCUAUUCUCUCUGCCUUCACUGCUGGGGCCACUGUCCUGUGUAGGCACCAAGGCCUGACCAUGCCACCCGGAAGCCCCAACCUGGGACAACUCUCCCCCACCUGCCUCUGAGCCCUCCA